rnacentral:rRNA from 1 species
UACGUAGGGUGCAAGCGUUGUCCGGAAUUAUUGGGCGUAAAGGGCUCGUAGGCGGUCUGUCACGUCGGGAGCGAAAACUCAGGGCUUAACCCUGAGCCUGCUUCCGAUACGGGCAGACUAGAGGUAUGCAGGGGAGAACGGAAUUCCUGGUGUAGCGGUGAAAUGCGCAGAUAUCAGGAGGAACACCGGUGGCGAAGGCGGUUCUCUGGGCAUGACCUGACGCUGAGGAGCGAAAGUGUGGGGAGCGAACAGG